GAACUCGUUCCUACAUAUUAAUGGUGGGAAUCAGUAUGUGGAAUUAAGAAAGAAAUAAGGUGAAACACCGAAGCUAAUGAAACCCCUAUAUUAUGUUAGUGUUCACCUUGAAGUUAAAUCUAGUGGCAAAAUUGCACUGCAACAGGGUGAGAAUCAGGUAUACGAUGCCAAUUAUUUUGACCUCCAAAUAUGCAAUUUGCAUUGAUCUCAUCGAUUAGACCCAUGCAUUUAAAGUCCAAUUUUCAAAACUUAGGCUAUAAGGGACAAAUUUUUCUUGGGUUAAUUGCAUAUAAGUCCCUACAAACAUAGUGAAUUGCAAAUAUAUUCCUACAAAAUUCAACUUUCCUGUAUUGUCCCUGCAAAAGUCAAAAUGUUUUCAAAUAUGUCCCAACCGUUAGAAUUCAUUAGAAAACUUUAGUUAACCAUAGGUAAAAUACUUAACCCUGGUUAGUUUAUGAGAUAACUUGACAAUAUUACCUCUCUUAUAUUAUACUGUUGUGGCUUUUGAAAAAACAUAUUUGUGAUGGCAAAAUUGGCAUGUCACUUAUUUGCUGUUAAAAUAUAAACAGCUCUCUAACGGUAGCAAACCAAAGGAACAUAUUUGAAACCAUUAGAAUUUUUGUAUGGACAACAUAUGAAAGUUGAACUUUGUAGGGAUAUAUUUACAAUUCACUGUGUUUGCAGGGACCUAUAUACAUUUAACCCAUUUUUCUUUGAGGGAAAAUGCAUAAAAUCUAUUAUAAAGGCGGCCAUAUAUCUAUCACAUCAAUUUGCUGUAAGCCAAGGAUGUAAGUGUCGUGGCACGGGAUCAUGCCGAAACUUACCAGCACAGCACGGCACGAUGCAUGUCGGUCCGUGCCAAUGCGUUCGAUCACAAAAAAUAUGUGUGCCGACACGUAAUAGCGUGAAAUAUUUAUUUUUUUUAGCAACAAAUUAUGCCAAUUAUUUAUUAUAUAUUUUUUUCAAAUCUUUUGAACUUUAUUUAGAAAAUUACUUACUAAUUUCAAAAAUAGAGAAUUUUGAAUUGUGCCAUCGGCACAAGAGCUGUAUUGUGCCGAUAUCUUGCUAGCACGACACGGCACGAUAGAUACGACUUGUGCCGAUGGGCACUUUAAUCCUUGUUGUAAGCUUCACUGUGUUACACGAAGGAAUUUGAUAGAAUAUUUACUUAUUAUUAAGAAAAGUGGUUCAUUCUGACUUAAACCUUCAAUAUUAUCAAAUGCCAAAUUUCUUCUUAACAAAUUUGGCUAGAAUCAGAGUUGCUUUCCAAAUAUGAAAGUGUUUAAUUGCACAAUAACACAUUCAGUGGUAAUUAGAAUAAAUUGGUUUUAAGAAAUCAAAACUGAAGAUUGAGUAUAUAGCAUCUAACAAUUUGAACCAUAUUGAACUGAUACAACGUAUUUGAAAAUUGGAAGUAAUAAACAUGAAAAACAAAAUUUGCUGAGAAUAUAAAAUUCUACCUGAAUGCAAUUUGCUGUCCCCAAACGAAAAAGUGGUUAGGAGUAUCUGAUCUUCAAAAGGUCGACAAAAUUAUCAAGUGCAGCAAGAAUGUGACGUUUCUCAGGCUUGAAGGAUGGUUGGCCAACCGUGGUUUGAUCCUGGAAUUAUUAUUAAGUAUUAUAAAAAUAGGAAACUUGCAAACUGCCCAAUAAGUUACAUACUAGCACUUUGUUAAUAUAUACCGAAAAAAUGAACUAAUAUAAGUAUACUGCCAGAUGAACUACUAAUAUAUUCUGUAGGAUACAAAAGAUAAAAUCAACUCAUUGCAAUUGAAAUGAUAUAGAAUCCAAAAAGAGGAAGAUAGAAACAUACAAAGGCCAGUUGUUCUCAUUCUUUUCUCUUGGCGGAAGUCCGAUACCCCAGUUGUUUGUUUCAUAACUGAAGUCGAACCUUUUCAAAUAUGGGGGGAAAAAUGAACAAAGAGAUGAAGAAAUAUGUGCUCAUAUGAAAAAUAGCUUUUCGUAAUGUUUCUAUGUGGUCGUUUGGAAACCAUUACAUUUAGGUUGUUUAAUGACCAACCUGUUAAACCAAUCACCGGAGUUAUACGAGUCACGAUCAAGUGAUUUGGACCGCAAUAUCUCAUCACCAGCAUGGAAAAAUGGUACUCCCUAUGAAGAUGAAGUGAUUAGGCAACAAAAUUUGAUUAGUCUGAUGGCCUCGCAAUAGCAGUAGAUAAUCAGAGUGCUUUUCGAAAAACGAUUUCAACUUCCAACAGUCAAAAAUUAGUCAUUUCACCGCCGCUGGCGAUUACUCCAGAAAGAGUGAGCAUAUCACUGGUCUUUCUUGUAUAAGUUAGUUUUCUGAUUUUCUAACAAGAGCCAUAAGGCCCAUUACAAUGGCAGGCAUGAUUUCUGAAAAGGAGAAAAACUAGUUCCCAUUCCAACAAAACUUAUAAAUUACAGUGACGGCAUAUCUUAUGAGCAAUUACAGUGAGAGUGGCAAAUCUUUAUAUAAAUUAAGCACGUAUCUGUUUCCUCUUAAUCUUUAUGAAGAAUAACCAUAGAUGAUAAAAAAUUAUACAACUCCAUAAGCAAGGCGUAUAACUGCACACCUAAAAUUAAUUACAAAAAGAAUUGCAAACUAAUGACUAGGACAUGAUAAAAGCAUUGGGACAAACCUGGGACAAUGCUAUGAUGCUUGAGGCCAAAUGAUUAAUCCUACAUCUGUCAUCUACAGUGAGUUCCACUGGAGUCUGCAUAACAAAAAGAGAAUUUAAGAUGAAAGGGCUUUUACUUCAUAUAUGAUGUAUAAAGGACAAUAUAAAUCUUUGCUCACAUACAUGAAAAAGAAGUGAAAUAUCAGGAUUUGAUGGUGCGGAACCAACAAUUUAUUGCUAAAGAACACCAAGAAGAAAUUUUUGGAGAAUGCAAUUGGGGAUCAUCAUCAUAAAGAUAUUUUAUUUUGAAUUUUUCUCUACAAGAAAUUAACUAUGGAAUAUCUUGAAGAGUAUUCGUAGACAAACAGAGCAAAGCCUUUCAACCAUUUUUAAAAAGAUGACCAAAGAAAGAUGUAUUCAAAAUAGAUCAAUGUACCUUCAAGCUGACAAUAUCAAACAAAGUCUCAUUGUCAUGAGCAGACACGUAGUUGACCUGAAAAUGAUACACCAACAUCUUUUGCUCAUGAGACUUGUGUUAUCAAAAGAUGUGAACAUUAUAUAUGUUAAUUUCCAAACAAACCCAACGAACAAAAUGAAGUAUAGUGUCGACUGUUUAAAUUUACAAACUAUAUCAAUUAAUGCAAGAUUGAAGUAGGUUAUGCUAAUUUUGUUUAAGAAUUAGCUAUAGCUAGACUUACCGUUUCCGUGGGGGACAAAGCAUACCCAACUGGCAUUCCAUCAUUAGUCGGAACUUCCGAUCCUUUCAUCUGUUAAUAACACAUAAAUAGGAUCACUAGUAUGGUUAUAGUCAUAGGCUAAGUUAAAAAUGGCAAAUGUGAAAAAACAGGAAAUAACUCAUGAGACUUCACAGGAUUACAACCUGUCAAUCAAAAAAAUUGUAGAAAAUGAACUAGAAAUAGUUUGUUACUAGCGCAUGUAUCCUGAAAUUUCUGCAGAAGUUGAGGGCUCUUCUGCACUAAAAACGUGCAAAUAAAUUAAGACAUAAGCCAAAGGAUCUCAAGCGUUAAUCUUACAUACAAUACCGCAAACAAUCCAAGUGUUACGGCAAAAGCAAGCGGAAAAGAUCUAGUUCGUCGAGCGUUUAGCCGGACACCAUCAUAAUUUUUUUUUAUUCCUAUUAGAUUACUAUAAAUCUUAAAAAGAUAGCAUGAACCAAACUGACCCGUAUAAUUAAAUUAAGUUUGUUAUUUAUGUGAGCAUGUGUGUACGGUGAAAUUACAGUGAAACCAAAUUGAAGCAGAUCGAAAGUCAAAGUGAGUCAUUCCAAUUAAUGGUGUUCAAUUAAUUGCACAGGAGCAGGCACAGGGAGAGUGCUAGGGCUAGACAGAGCAGGGCGGAGGGGCAGGGAGCGGGUGGUUUCGGAGCGGGAGCUGCGGCGGGGGCGCGGAGGGACGGAGGGUUUUUGAGCGCGGGUGCGGGGAAAGGGGGGGCUGAGGGCUGGGGGGUGGGGGCUGGGCUAGGCUGACCGAGGGGGAGCUCAGGCCAGGCGGGGCCCGAGCUCGGGGAAGGGGAAGGGGAAGGGGAAGGGGAAGGGUGAGAGGGACGCACCUGAGAAGUAGGAAGAGCACCGGAGUGGGAGGAGCGCAGCAGCCGGCCGGCGGAGGGAGCGAAGUCGCCUUGGAGGAGUAGCCAUCGAAGAGGGUUUCUUGGGAGGAGGAGGUUGGGGGGAGAAAGGAGAUCUAUUUUUUUNGCCGAUCGUCGAAUCGAACAUCCUAUCAUCGAAAACAACUUACAAGCACGGGGCCUCCCGUACUUUCGAAAGUACGGGAGACGGACUCUAUAUAUAUAUAUAUAUAUAUAUAUAUAUAUAUAUAUAUAUAGAGUCCGGCUACUAUAUUAUUAAUAGCACGAAACACUUGGUGCGACCAAGUUUUCCGCCGUUAAAUCUAUUCUUUUGAUCAUUUUCACUCGUUAGAUCAUACUAUUCAACCAACCACCCACUCAACCCUAGGAGGCCCACAUUAUCCUAACCACACAUCUCUUAAUCUAAUGGCUAAAAACUUGGUAGCACCAAUGACUUAAUAGUAUAGUAGCAUAUAUAUAUAUAUAUAUAUAUAUAUAUUAUAUAAUAUUUAUUUAUUUAUUUGAUUAUUGUAUUUAUAUAUUUAAGAUAAUGAGCUCACAGAGCGUCUUAGAGGCCGCUUUGCCAGUGGUUAAGAAACAACCCGUUUUUAGCAACCGCCUCUACAAGCGCUUUUUUUUUUUAGUAUUUAUGAAUCUUGUUCAUGGCUUCAAUCCGUUUUCGAACUGGUCUCAAAGCUCACAUAUAUGCUACUCUAGCAAUUGACUAAUUUAUUAUUCUCGUAAAUCAUACAAGAAUCAAAUUAUAACUAGUAUAAUUACCAAUUAAAUAAUUUUAUAUUAUAAAUCUUUUGUUAUUUAAUUGCACGACAGCAGGGAGAGUGCACAGAGAUCAUAUCAAUAAUAUAAGAGAGAGAAAAUCUUUAUUCUCUAUUCAUUUAUUACUUUUUCGUUUCAAUAAUCAGAAUGAGAAAGGUGGGGGUGAUGCAUGCAGAUGUUUUGCAUAUAGUGUAGUAAUAGAUACAGAUGUUGUAGCAAGAUGCAUGUCGAAGAAGAUUCGCGUACGGGCAUUUACAGCAGCUAGCCAUUAGGACCGUGUUCGGUGAUCCGCAUGUCCUCUUCAAGGAAGCCGAAAGGGUACCAGCCGCCGGUGUAUCGCUGGAAGCCGCAGGCAUCAAGGGCAGCAGCCCACUUUCUGAUGCCCGACGUACCCGGGGGGUUGAAUUUGGCGAUUCUGUUGUACAUCUCUUUGUAGCACAUGUAGUCCACCGUCAGGUCCANCCACCGCACCGAUCACGACUACUCGGUCGGCCUCGUCCGGCACCGAACCGUUAUGACCGGCAAGACCUCGACCCCUACCGGGUUGAACUACCUGUAGCCGCCACCGCUAACCACCCGCUCCUGUUCGUUGUCGUCAUCCUCUUCGUAAGUAGUUGAUCCCCCUCCUCGAUUCCUCCCUUUCUUUUUUCCUUUUCACUUACUCUAUAAUUUAUUACUCUCCUAUCUCUGCCUCUUCUGGGAUUGCAGCACUUGCCAUUUUAUAGACGUAGUUUGGUAGUAACAAGCAAAUUUUAUAUUUAAGUUACAUCUUAACGAUAAUAAAUGUAUCAAUAUUUUCAUAGUCCUGCUGAAGAUAAACUUGUGCGUUUGAGUAUGACAUAAUUGUUACGCAUGCGUUUGCUAUUAAUUAAUUAAGCGAUGCGUAUUGUUUCGCAACAAACAAAAUUAAUUAAAUGUCGGUUAGCUUCAAAUACAUGCUUUUAACCUAAUAAAAAAAUUUAGCUAUUUUGCAAACGCUUGGAAACUUUAACAUUAGCAAAUUAAUUCGAUUUCUUAAAUUUUAUCAAAUAGUUGAAUACAGAGGCCUCUCUCUUCACUUGAAUUGCAAUCCUUAUUACCGUUUAAGCCGGUAUUUUGAAUAUAAUCAUAUAAAGCUUCAAAACGCGAUUCUUUUUCCCCAUCGUCUAACAUAGAAAUCAAAAAAUGAAGCUAGAUCGAUUCAUCCCGUCAAAGAGAAAAAAUAAUUUUCUUUUCAAUAUUUUAAAUGGUUAAUUAUACCAGUAUUCCCCAACUUUUUUUUUUGCAAUUGAGUCCCUAAUCUCUUAAUUUUAUUACAAUUACGUUCCAACCGUUAAAAUAAUUGUUAAAAUUAACGGAAUCGCCAGGUCAGCGUCUAUUUGUCAAUCUUUUACAUGUCAAUUUAGGUCCCUUAAUUUUGCACGUUUUUCAUUUUAGUCCCUAAAAAAAAUUUUCAAAAUUUUAAAUUUAAAUUCAAAAAUAAUAUUAAAAUUAAAAAUUUAAACUAACGAGAAAUUAGAAUUUUGAAUUUGAAUUUAAAGCUGAAUUGAAAUUUUGAAUUGAAAUUCAAAUUUUAAAUUUAAAAUUUUAAUUGAAUCCAAAUUUUGAAUUCAAACUUAAAAUUUUGAUUUUGAUUUUGAUAUUUCAAUUUACAUUUAAAAUGAAAGUUUUGAAAACAAAAUUUAAAUUUAAAAUCUGAAUUAAAAUUUAAAAUCAUAUUCAAAAUUUUGAUUUUAAAUUUUAAAUUUGAAUUUAAGAUUUGAUUUCAAUUAUAAAUUUGAAUUUAAACUUCGAAUUCAAAUUCACAUUUUGAAUUUGAAAUUUCAAAUCGAAGUUUGAAAUUAAAUUAGAAUUUAGAAUUCCAAAUGUGAAUUUGAAUUUAAAAUUAAAAAUUUAAAAUUAAAUACAAAAUCAGAAUUUGAAUUCUAAUUAAAAUUUGAAUUCAAUAUCAAAUUUUAAAUCUUUAAAUUAAAUUUUUUUUUGAAUUUAUAAAUUUAAUGGGUUUAAUUACACCAUUGGUCCUCAACAUUUACACCGAUUUUCAAUUUGGUCCCCAAUCCCUUUUUUUUUUUGCAAUCCGCUGACACAGCACCACCGUGGCACCGACACGACGCCUCCGUGGCACUGACAUGGCGCCUCCGUGGCACUGACAUGGUGCUGACGUGGCAUUUUCCGUCAAUUUUAACAGUUAUCUAACGACUGGGACUUAAUUGAAAUGAAAUCAAGAGUUUAGGAACUUGAUUGCAAAAAAAAAAAAAGGUUUGGGGACCAAAUUGAAAAAUAGUGUAAAGGUUAGGGACUAUUGGUGUAACUAACCCUAUUUUAAAAGCUUACAAGAUUACGUGCAUAAUUCACAAUCAAAACAGAUAAACAAUUAAUAACUAUAGUUGAAGGAGCCUAAUAACUAAAAUAGUAAGUUCAAAUGGUUGUUUGCGAAAAAAGGCUUUAGAGUUAUGAUGGUGAAUUUCAGAGCUCUUUUAUAAAAUGCAAGUUCUGAUAGCAAUUCACAGUUACAGCGAGUGAAACAUUGAUUAAUAGAGAAUGCACUUCUUUAAGCAUCAUAUUUGGAUAACAUUUAUCCAUUACAAAAGUCAUAAAAUGGCUGUGCUGCAUUAGACCACGUUGAUCAUGCACAUUACUCCAAAAGAACAAACUUCAUAAAUAAAUUUUACAGCAGAAAACCAAAGAUAUAUUCGACGUUACAGGUGGGAUACGCUAGUCCUAUCAAAAAGAUAUUGUAAAGACUAUAACAGGUCUCAUAUCUCAUCGUGCAUUACAAAACCAAGUAAAUGAGCACAGAUCUCAAGGAUAGGGUGACGGGCAAUAAGAACAAGUAGAUGACAAAGUUGCUAUAUAUAUAUAUAUAUAUAGUUGAAUAAAAUUAUAAUUGUUUUUUCGAUUUACCAAAAAAUGUAAAAAAUUUCUAACCAAUACAUGUAGGCAAAUAACUUUUAGGCGUCAAGAAAUAAAACUUGCAAGUGACGAAAAAAAAACUUUGCAAGUGUCAAAAAAAACAGCUAUCAAAAAGCUUGAAAUGAUUGUUAACUCAAUUGUUGAGUAUCAUAAAGAGCAAAAGGAGAAAAAAUUUUAUAGAGAAAGAAACAAAGAGAGAUGAAUAUUAGCGCUAGAUGGUAUACAUGAUUCAUUCAAUACAUACCACGAAACUCUAAAUCUUUACAUCUCUUACCAUAACGAUUUGGUGGAGGAACUUUAGGGCACCCUUGGGGAAAUGUUAAGCAUUCUGCCAGCGUUCAUCCUGAGGCAGGAUCGAACUCUCCAUUUGUAUUCAUGCGCUUCAGAUUAUCCUGAAGUUCGCUCGUGCGGAUGGGACUAUCUCUGCUGCUUUCCUUCUAUGACAUAAAUCGUUGUGUUGCAGCCAUCAAGCCUAGUGUCAACUCCAGAUCGACCCCCACGAGGAUCGUCUAUGCCCUAAACCAUUCCGUCAUCGCCGUUGAGCCCGGAUCAACUUUGGAUCCACCUCGGUGAUAAUCCUCUUUAGCGUGGGAGGUGGCAGCCCAGCCCUGUAUGCCAUUAACUACUCCAUCACUGCCGCCAAGCGAGUCGUCAAAUUUAGCAAUAAUCUUCUUUGCCAUACGAAGCGACGGCGGUGUACUGCUCAACAACUUUCGUAGAUGCAUGUGACAGAGAAAGUUGAGAUAAGAACGAUGGAAGGAUAGGGCAGGCAGAGAAAAAGAAAGUAAGAGAAAGUGAGGAGUCAAAAAAAUCCUAAUAAAAGAGAAAAGAGCGGAAGAAGAGAAAUCUACAAGAGAAAAAGGGGAUGAGUAAAAGAAGAAAGAGCAUCUUGUGCUCGAUCUCCAUGAUGGUUGUCGUUUUUAAUUAAUUUCAGGGUGAAACAUAUGAAUAGCUCCUGCAUAUAUAUAUAUAUAUAUAUAUAUAUAUAUAUAUAAUAUACUAUAGUAUAUUAUAUAUAUAUAUAUAAUAUAUAUAUCAGACUUUGAAAUUUGAUCCAUAUACUUUUGACUUAAAUUUUUAUUUUUAAACUUUCAAUAAUAAAAAAUUAUAAUUACUAAAUUUAAAUUUAAUUUUUUAAAAAAGGCAUGUGCCUUAUUUGAUGAGAAAGAAGAAAGCAUUAAAUCAAGAAUUUAAUGUGAGAGAACAAAUAUCUUGGCCAUAGAGAAGAAAAGAUAUGCAUAUUUCUCGAUAGAAGAGAGGGAGAGGAGAGAGAAAAAUCAUGUCUUAAAAAUUAAUUUUUAGAGAGAGAUUGAAAGGAAAGCAUUAAAUAAAAAAUUUACACUUAGUAAAAUCAAAAAUAAAUUUUUAAGAAGGACGUGUUUUAUUUGGAGAGAGAAAAAUGAGCAUUAAAUUAAAAAUUAAUGAGAGAGAGGGAAACGGAUUUAAUUAAAAAAGUAAUUAUUUUAAAGAAAGAGCAUAUAAUUGGUGACAAAAACAAGGAAAAGGCAGGCACACUUCUCCGUCACUAAUUUCAUUUCUGGAGUACAAUAUAUGAAAAAUCCUUGCACAAUUCAACUUUGAAAUUUGAUGCAUUUAUUUUGUAGUUCAAUAUUUAACUUUCAAAUUUUCAAAUAUAAUAUAUUUUACUCAUAAUUUAAAAAGUAAAAAUUAUGUAGUUUAAAAAUGUAUAAUUACUAGAACAAAUUUUAAUUUUUUUAAGAAAGUCAUGUCUCUUAUUUGGAGCGAAAGAAGAGAAUAUUAAAUAAAAAUUAAAUUAAGAGAGAGAGAGAGAAAGCACUUUCAAACUUGCAAAUAUAAUGUAUUUUACUUAUAUUUUAAAAAAUAAACAUUAAGUAAUAUUAAAAAUAUAUAAUUACUACAAUCAAAUUUUUAUUUUUUUAAAAAAGUUAUGUCUCUUGUUAUGCACUUUUAAAAAUAAUUUAUUUUUACUUUUCUAAGAAAAAAUGCACAUAAUUUGAUCAUACAAAAUGCAAAGAGAAAUCCACAUUCCUCGGUGAGAGAGAGAGAAGAGAAAAAAAAAGGCAUAUCCCUUAUUUAGAGAGAAAGAGAGGAGAGAGGAGAGAAGAAAAAGUGUCUCAGAGAAUAGAACAUUAAAUAAAAAUUAAAGCGAGAGAGGGAGUAUUUUCAAACUUUCAAAUAUAGUAUAUUUUACUCAUAAUUAAAAAUAAAAAUAAAAACUAGGUAUUUGAAAAAAUGUAUACUAAAUUCAAAUUAAUUUUUUUUAAAAAAAUCAUGUCUUUUGUUUGCAGAAAGGGAAAAAAAAAGGAGAGCAUUAAAUUAAAAAAUUAAAUUGAGAGAGAGAGGAAAGAGGCAUAUAUAUUUCUCAGUGAGAGAAAGAGGAGAGAGAAAUGGUAUGAACAUUAAAUAAAAAAUUAAAGUAAAAGAGACGAGCACACUCCGAGAGUGAAAAAAAUAUAAAGAAAAAAUGUUUCACAUUAUUAGAACAUUUUAUCGGAAGGCCCAAUCAAAAUAGAAUAUAUUCAUGGUUUACAAUGCGCUGGAUACAUCCUAUUUAAUAGAAUAUCAUAUUUCACAUGUGAUGUAAUUUUUUCAAUUUUUUAAAAAUGAUUUGAAUGCCGUAUAUGAUAUUUCAUUUACACAUUUUCUUUUCGAGGAAAAAAAACCUGUAGUGCACUCAUAUAGAAUUUGAUCACAUUCUUCAACUAUCAUAUAUUAUAAACCUUUUUAGUAAAUUAAUAAGAUAUGCUUAAAAUAAAAGAUACUCAUGCAUCCAAAUAGGAUCUAAUACUCCUUGUCUACAAAAUAUUACAUGCUUCUUUUAAGUACAUAAAAAAUAAGAUGGUCAUGGAUCCAAAGGAAACUUAAGGGUUCACCUAUCAUUUAGUGCAAUUUGAAAAUAAAACUCCUCAUCCUGUAUGAGGAAUUACAAAUCAAUUCAACCAUGAACCAAAUUUGAAGCAUCAUCCAAAAUAUACAUCGGAAAAUAUGGCAUAAAUCUUACACCAACACAUCCUAGGGUCUACAAGCCUUUUUUUCCAUUAUAAGUUUUUUUUAAAAAAAAAAAAUUAUAAGAUUAACGAGAAAAUGUUGACCUAUGAAUGUUGGUGAAUGAAUAGUGUAAAAUUUAUAUCUACUUUUUGAGCGCACAAAUAAGGUUUAGGAUUUGAAAACCCUUAAUUUUCCUUAAAAAAAAUUAUAAGAUUAGUGAAAAAAUGUUCACCAAUGAAAGAAUGUGGUAUAAAAUUUAUAUUGCCUUAAAGCUAGGUCUGAAACAAAUCAAUAACAAAGAACCAUAUAUCAUUGUAACAUCCUAAUCUACCAGUCCUAGCAAUUUGUUAAGCUCAAAUCACUGGCCCAAAACGCCUAAGUUAUCAGUAUUAAAGUGUUUAAUCCUUCUAUACAUAAAUACAAUCCCUUCUCUAUUCAAUAUGAGAUUACUAAGAUGUCACAAUUAUGAUGGAAUCAAAUAAUUUAGCUUUAAUUUAGAUAAAAUUGCUUAUACCAACCCUACACAUCCAAUAAAUGUUGUAAUAUUUCCAAUAUUAAGGCAAAUUCCCUCAGACACUUUCACAACAUUUCCCACUUGGACCGACCGUCCCUAGAGCAAAUGGCAAAAGGCUUGGUGGUUGGUACCCGAGACCCAAAUUCGAAUCCUAGUCGAUUCACAUUUCCAGCUAAGUUUAUUUCUAAAUGAAAUAAACGAAGCGAGUAGCGUGCUUCCUAUCUCUAAAGAAAAAAAAAAAAAAAAAAAAAAAACAUUUCCCACUUGGCAAAUACACAAGAAAGUAGAUAUAUCUAUUGCUAGUAAAUAUAAUAGCAACCAAAACAAGCAAUAAGAUAACCUAAUUUGAUUUCCGAUAAACUGUAAUUAGUUCCAUUGUGGUUGAUUGCAUUUUUUCCUUUACCAUUGUUUUGCUUAAACUGUUCAACUUUGGUUUUACGUAGUUUUAAUUUUGUUUUACCGUAAGAACCUGCCGUUAAGUAGGAUAACAAAGUAUAACAAUUCACAAACCACAACAUAGUAAAAUAUUAAUUUUUACAAACCAAAGGUGGUAAAUUAUGCCAGUUUACUACUUCGUAGUUUACAUUGUACCACCUUGUGGUUGGUGAAAUAUAACACUUCGCUACUCCUUCCUAAUGGCAGGUAGUACAAUUUUACAAACCACAAAAUGGCUAGUUAAUAACGCGCCAAAUCGCGGACGGACUAAUUGAAGUUACCCUUUGCUUUUUGUCACUGAUUAAACAAAAAAAAUACUAAUCCAUAGUGAAUAAAGGGAAGAUGUAGAAACAAAUUUAUUCAAACAAUUAAUAGAGAUAUUCCUGAUACAGAGUUUAUGUUUAUGCAGUCAAAUUUAUUCUACUAGAAUAGUUCAGAUAACUUCUUCCGACCUAAUUCUUAUUACCCUUUUAUUCAUACAUCAUUUAGAUGUGAUUAUGUAAAACAUACUCACUAGCGCCAGUUGAUGCAUUAAGGAGUUCCCCGAACUUCAACAAAAACUGCUGUGGUUCUCUGAGGAACAGUGAAGCGACCGGCGACUCCCUCAUACGUUGACUUUUUGACCAACCCAUCCACCGAUUUCAGCUGCGCCAGUUUCGAUUCACAUUAAAUUAUCACAGGACUUCCCAAGCAUAGUGCACAAAUCGAAUGACGAAUAAAUAAAAAUAAUACCUGCACAGGGUGCAAUUCAAGUGCUCUCGACCUGAGCGCAGGAACUUCUAUAGAGACUUCAGAUGGGCAUGCAUUGAAGGCAACUACAAUAUAGGAGUAGCUGAAGCAAAAUAUUGAUUGUGAUUAAUUUAUAUGAAACUAAAUAAUUUGCCACCAAAAAUAUUGAAACCAGAAAUUGAAUGAGCAAACGUGUACUACUCACAUUGGAUCUAAUUGGGUGAUGCCUGGUUUUCCAUCAUGUCCAUCUUCAAUGCUCAUAAUGAUUGCUCCACAGACCCAUGACGGACCUGUGUUAUGGAAUCGAACUCGUUCCUACAUAUUAAUGAGGGGAAUCAGUAUGUGGAAAUAAGAAAGAAAAAAGGAGAAACACUCGAGCUAAUGAAACCCCUAUAUUAUGUUAGUGUUCAGCUUGAAGUUAAAUCUAGUGGCAAAAUUGCACUGCAACAGGGUGAGAAUCAGGUAUACGAAUGUUUCGUAUGUUAUGCCAAUUAUUUUGACCUCCCAAUAUGCAAUUUGCAUUGAUCUC
rnacentral:lncRNA from 1 species